UAAUUUAUUUCUAAGCCAACAAAGGAGAAGUUCUGGCUCUGAGAUAAAGUAACAUUUUAUAAAUUGUGGAUUGGUAAUAUUUAAAAUCAUUUUUAUUUAAAUAUGUAUACACAUAUAUACACACACUAUUACAUUUUAAUCAGCAUCAUUAUGUUAUCUUAGGAAUGGUUUUUUCUUAUUUGUCAGACUCUCACUUGAUGUUUACUGCUUAAGACUGUGUCCUGGGCGGGCGCGGUGGCUCACGCCUGUAAUCCCAGACCUUUGGGAGGCCGAGGUGGGCGGAUCACAAGGUCAGGAGAUGGAGACCAUCCUGGCUCCUGGCUAACACGGUGAAACCCCGUGUCUACUAAAAAUAAUUUUUAAAAAAUUAGCCGGGCGUGGUGGCAGGCGCCUGUAGUCCCAGCUACUCCAGAGGCUGAGGCGGGAGAAUGGCGUGAACCCGGGAGGCCUGGUCUUGGUGUAAAAGCUUUUCAUUUCUCAACAUUAAAUAUGAUGUUAGUUGAAGGCUUUUGUAGAAAUUAUUUAUCAAUUCUCCUCUAUUUCUAGUUUACCGAGAGUUUUGUUUGUUUGUUUGUUUUUUGAGGCAGAGUCUCGGCUCACUGCAACAUCCGCCUCCCGAGUUCAAGUGGUUCUCCUGCCUCAGUCUCCUGAGUAGCUGGGACUACAGGCACACGCCACCAAGCCCAGCUAAUUUUUGCAUUUUUAGUAGAGAUGAGGUUUCACCAUGUUGGCCAGGAUGGUCUCAAUCUCUUGACCUCCUGAUCUGCCCACCCCAGCCUCCCAAAAUGCUGGGAUUACAGGCCUGAGCCACCGUGCCCAGCCUCUGU
rnacentral:lncRNA from 1 species